UGUUGCUUCGGCGGGUAGGGUCUCCGCGACCCUCCCGGCCUCCCGCCUCCGGGCGGGUCGGCGCCCGCCGGAGGAUAACCGAACUCUGAUUUAACGACGUUUCUUCUGAGUGGUACAAGCAAAUAAUCAAAACUUUUAACAACGGAUCUCUUGGUUCUGGCAUCGAUGAAGAACGCAGCGAAAUGCGAUAAGUAAUGUGAAUUGCAGAAUUCAGUGAAUCAUCGAAUCUUUGAACGCACAUUGCGCCCGCCAGCAUUCUGGCGGGCAUGCCUGUUCGAGCGUCAUUUCAACCCUCAAGCUCUGCUUGGUGUUGGGGCCCUACAGCCGAUGUAGGCCCUCAAAGGUAGUGGCGGACCCUCCCGGAGCCUCCUUUGCGUAGUAACUUUACGUCUCGCACUGGGAUCCGGAGGGACUCUUGCCGUAAAACCCCCCAAUUUUCCAAAGGUUGACCUCGGAUCAGGUAGGAAUACCCGCUGAACUUAAGCAUAUCAAUAGCCGGG
rnacentral:misc_RNA from 1 species